rnacentral:rRNA from 1 species
UUGGGAAACUGACGGUAAUACUCAAUAAAGUCGAGAGACCAAAGGUUUACUGCCGGAAGAGCGGCCGAUGCGAUAUUAGGUAGUUGGUGGGGUAAUGGCCUACCAAGCCUGAGAUGUCUAGGGGGUGUGAGAGCAUGGCCCCCACCACUGGGACUGAGAUUACUGCCCAGACACCUACGGGUGGCUGCAGUCGAGGAUCUUCGUCAAUGGGCGAAAGCCUGAACGAGCGACGCCGCGUGCGGGAUGAAGGCCCUUGGGUUGUAAACCGCUGUCAGGGGGGAUGAAACCGUAAGGUUGAACAGAGCCCCAGAGGAAGCACGGGCUAAGUUCGUG